GUAAAGUUUAAUUCUGGCUUGUAGAUUUGCUUAAUUUUUCUUUUUACAUGUAAAUUUUUUGUGGGUUUAUUAAUUUUGAUUAAAUAUUAAUUUUAUUUUUUGUUAAUCUCAGUAUUUAAUAUUAUUAAUUUAAGAAAUUAUGAAUUAGGAAUUUAUUAUUAGCAUUAACAAAUUUUGUGCCAGCAGUUGCGGUUAAACAAGGGAUGCAAGUGAAUUUUAUUAGGAAGUAAUUAAAUGUAAUUAUUUAUAAUUUAAUAUUAAAUUUUUUAGGUGAAAUUUUAAAUUUAAAUGUAUUUUAUAAUUAAUGUUUUGAUGUUAUGAAAUUUAUUUUUAAACUAGGAUUAGAUACCCUAUUAUUUUAAAUGUAAAUUUUAAUUCUUAGGGAGUAUUAGUUAUGAUCUUGAAAUUUAAAGAUUUUGGCGGUAUUUUAGUCUAUUUAGAGGAACCUGUUUUUUAAUUGAUAGUCCACGAUUAACUUUACUUAAUUUAAUGAGUUUGUAUAUCGUCGUUAUAAGAGAAUUUUAUAAGAAUUUAAAAUUUUCAGUAGGUUUAAUUUUAGGAUAUUUCAGAUCAAGGUGCAAUUUAUAAUUAAGUUAAAAUGGGUUACAAUAAAUUUAUUUAAUAGAUGGAUUAGUCUUGGAAGAUUGAGACUAUAAAGGUGGAUUUAAUAGUAAUAUUUUUAGAAAUAUUAAAUAUGAUAGUAGCUCUAAAAUAUGUACAUAUCGCCCGUCACUCUUAUUUAAGGUAAGAUAAGUCGUAACAUAGUAGAUGUACUGGAAAGUGUAUCUAGAAUGAU
rnacentral:ncRNA from 1 species